CGCGCCCUGAGUUCCCCGACACUGUUCGCGCGGAAUCUGGUGGCGCGCGGGAGGCGGAGCCGGGCGGCCCGGGCAUCCCCUGGCACCGACUGCGUGUCCAUCUGGGAGGCGGUUGCGACAUGUUGGCCGGGGCUGCCCGGGCUGGCAGCCCCGUUAGACACCGAUAUACAGAGAGGAGGAGAGACAAGAGAGGAAGAUCUGUCCGUUGAUUAACUCCCCAAUUGACCACAACAGUCAGAGCUGUGCCGAUCUGAAGCCAGGAGCCCGGAGCCCCUGCUGGGUUUCCCAGGUAAUUAUUCAUCAAAACCUUAUUUUGACUUUGAGGAAUUGCUAUCUUAGUUAUAAUAUCUUCAUUCCCUGCUUCAGACAUUAUUGGCAUCAUCUCCCCAACCUGAUCAUCCUCCCAGUAUAUGCCUCAGGUAUUCUCUUUUAUAGUUUAUAUUACUGUAGUUUUGCAUGGCUUCUAACUUAUGUCUCUGUAACCAAUAGCAAGUCCCAUCAGAGAGAGGAGUAUUUAAAAAAAUGUUUGCUUGUUUGUUUAUUUACUUAUGUUUGUUUACUUGAAAUGCAGAGAAAGAAAGUGAGUCUUCCAACCAUGCUUCACUUCUCAAAAUGCCUGCAACAGCCAAGUUGGGCUGGGCCCAAGCAAGGAGCCUGGAACUCCAUAUGGGUCUCCUACACAAGUAGCAGGAAUUGAAGCGCUUGAACCAUCAUCUGUUGCCUCCCAGGGUGUAUUAGUAGGAAGCUGGGUCAGAAGUGGAACAGCCAGAAAUCAAAGCAGUACGGGCUGAGAUUGUCUCUGUGGCAGCUUAACUAACAAAUACCAGGACAAAAGCCAUGCAACAUCCCUUACACAGUUUUAUUCUCAGAAUAGCAGAGAACUUGGAAAAUUGUAAAUUCUCAGUCAACUUUAUUUGCGUGAAUAUGUAAUGAAUGAGCCACUCUUAGAAACUGAGUCUGCGCUGCCAUCUCUCUCCUUAGGUGGUGCCCAGCCUGUUGAACCUUCCUAGAUGCUCUACAGUGUAGUAACCAGGAACACCAUCGAAGAAAGCAGGGAGCAAAACUCAUUCCUUCCCUAAUGCUGGCCUUAAUUCUAGAAAGUUCUCUCCAGAGUAAAAGGCCUU